rnacentral:tRNA from 1 species
CGGGGUGUAGCGCAGCUGGUAGCGUACUUGACUGGGGGUCAAGGGGUCGCAAGUUCAAGUCUUGUCACUCCGACCA